ACUAACCCAAAUGCUUUGUUUUUUUUCACCAAUAUGACCGUUCGUAUUAUGAAAGGAAAAAUAUAUAAGGAAAGCUAAAGAAAAAAAAAUCUAGAUCUCCAUCUUUCUGUGCGAGAAAGGCGAUUACAAUAGAGAAAAUCAAAUUCAUUACUCAAGAUAAGUUGUUCUUUAAUGGGAUAACUGAUUCCGUGGGGCAAGAGUGUAUUGGCAUGUUCCUUUACGAAUCAAGAACCAAACAUGCAGAAGAUGAGUGGUUGAUUUGCGUGGUCAGAAAAGAGAACAUACAAAAAUCGAUCUUCUUUUUUCUCGGGUUAAAUCGGAUGUUCAUUAAUUUGGUGGACAAAAACACCUACGUAGAAUGAGAAAGGAAUUUGGACACAAGAUGCAAAAAUAUGAUAGAAAAAAAAAAUGCGGUCAAUGAUGCAAAUACUUGCAGUAGAGCAGCUAAGUAUCAUUUCAUAUAUAUAUAUAUAUAUCUUCUUAUUUCAUAUGGUCAAUAUAUAUAUAUCAAAAUGUUGGCAAUAAGAUAUUGUGGUUGAUUUUUAAUUAUAUAACUGUAUUGUAUUGAUACCUGAUUUAUAAUGAUCUCUGUGUUUCUGUAUCCGUUUUUUACACUGAUAUAAUGUUUUAUAGUGACAGUUGCCUUGCAAAAAUGGUAUAGUGUUUUCUGUGCUUCUAUCAAUUGAUGACUUUCUUUUGAGUAAUGAUAUUGAACUUGCUAGUUAACGUUUUCUUUGAUUCUAUAUAGGGAAUUGUUUUGUUCUUGAGCUGUGAAUUGUUUUUCGUUUUAUAAACUUUUGUUUAUUUAUAUAUAUUGACUGUAUGUAAUUGUUUAGUAUAAACAGCAUAGAACAAUCAGUUGCAUUCUAAUGUUUCGUGUAAUAAACAUCCAUUGUAUAGAACAUGCUUUACAUCAACAGAUGACUUGCCAUGCCUUAAUGUACAUAAUAUAUUUUGUGAACUGGAAAUGAUUGUAUUCUGUUCUUCUCGUUUGGGUUAAUCAAAGUCAUUAAUUAAGGUAGUGAGAAAUGAGGUAACAUAAAUGAAGUUUUUCUAUGACGCUGAGCCACAGGAACGAAAGAAAGUCAAGACAUGUUUGCUCUGAGGUGCGAAUGAAAAUAAUGUGAGGAACGUGAAGAAUAUGAGUACACUUGCAAAGCAUAUCACGGCAUAAAGGAGAAGUGAUGCAUUUCUGGAGAGAUGUACAAAUACAUGUACAAUUGACAUUUUUUGGAGAGAGGAUGACUAGAUGUGGAUGAAAGUCAUGCGAUUUUAGUUACAAUUAGUCAUAUUUGGUAAACAUUUAUUAGGUGGUAAAGACAAUGAAUUUUUUUUGUUUACUUUAUUAAAUAUUCGGUGGUAUUUGAACGUAAAUACUGUGCAACUUGUAGGGUAAGUCUAUAUGUGUACUUCUGUAUUAAUAGUAUAGAUGGUGGUCAAAGACCCUCUAGAUC